CCUGGCUCAGGAUGAACGCUAGCUACAGGCUUAACACAUGCAAGUCGAGGGGAAACGAUAGAGAAAGCUUGCUUUUUCUAGGCGUCGACCGGCGCACGGGUGAGUAACGCGUAUCCAACCUGCCCAUCACUUGGGGAUAACCUUGCGAAAGUAAGACUAAUACCCAAUGACGUCUCUAGAAGACAUCUGAAAGAGAUUAAAGAUUUAUCGGUGAUGGAUGGGGAUGCGUCUGAUUAGCUUGUUGGCGGGGUAACGGCCCACCAAGGCGACGAUCAGUAGGGGUUCUGAGAGGAAGGUCCCCCACAUUGGAACUGAGACACGGUCCAAACUCCUACGGGAGGCAGCAGUGAGGAAUAUUGGUCAAUGGACGAGAGUCUGAACCAGCCAAGUAGCGUGCAGGAUGACGGCCCUAUGGGUUGUAAACUGCUUUUAUAAGGGAAUAAAGUGAGUCUCGUGAGACUUUUUGCAUGUACCUUAUGAAUAAGGACCGGCUAAUUCCGUG
rnacentral:rRNA from 1 species